rnacentral:RNase_P_RNA from 1 species
AGGGCAAGUUGGUCUAUCGCCGCGAGUGUAAAACCUCGUGGAGGAAAGUCCGGGCAACACAGGGUAACCAGCCGUUUGAAAAAACGGGUAUGCAAAUGGGAACGUUAGCAUAACAGACAGUGCCACAGAAACCAGGUAGCCGAGGCUGCGCAAGCACGUCUGGGUGAUAGUGAAAAUGUGAGGUAAGAGCUCACAGGCCCGGUUAGUAAUAACAGGGUUGGGUAAACCUCUGGUGUUGAAAGGCCAAAUAGGUUGCGGUACAGGCGGCCCGUCUUAUCUUGAUUUAUCAAGAACCGCAACGGGUAGGUCGCAUAGAUAAAUGAUAGAUAUACCCCGACGGUAACGUCUGGGUGAAACAGGACCCGGCUUACAAACUUGCUUUUUUA